rnacentral:rRNA from 1 species
GUGCCAGCCGCCGCGGUAAGACGUAGGAUGCAAGCGUUGUCCGGAAUUAUUGGGCGUAAAGAGUUCGUAGGCGGCAUGUCAAGUCUGGUGUUAAAGCCCGAAGCUCAACUUCGGUUCGGCAUCGGAUACUGACAAGCUAGAGUACAGAAGAGGCAAAGGGAAUUCCUAGUGUAGCGGUGAAAUGCGUAGAUAUUAGGAGGAACACCGGUGGCGUAAGCGCUUUGCUGGGCUGUAACUGACGCUGAGGAACGAAAGCCGGGGGAGCAAAUGGGAUUAGAUACCCUUGUAGUCC